CAGUUUAAGACCAUUCCCCCUUGUCCUAUCACUAUCCACCCCUGUAAACAGUUGUUCUCCCCCCUUAUUUAUACGCUCCCUUCAAAUUCUGGAAGGCCACAAUGAGGUCUCAAACGGUAAGUUUUAAACAUCUCAGAUUAUGUGCACAGAUGAACCUAUAACAAAUCCUUGGCCUUGUUUCCUCUUGCAAUGUAAGCUGCAAUGUAACUAGUCUGCUUUCACUAAGGGCUGGGUUAGAGGCUUUCUCUACAAAACUGGUGACUUAAGUACGUGAAAAGCAGUUGCUUUCAGCAGCAGUUUGAACACAUCCACUAAAAAUGAGCCCAUUAUUAAUUAGGUGGUCCCUGUUUAUCAUAGAAUCAUAGAAUCGCUAAGGUUGGAAAAGACCCCCAGGAUCAUCCAUUCCAACCAUUCACCCAUCACCAAUGGUUCCCGCUAAGCCAUGUCCCUCAACACAACAUCCAAACACUCUUUGAACACCACCAGGCUCGGUGACUCCACCACCUCCCUGGGCAGCCCAUUGCAGUGCCUGACCACCCUUUCAGAGAAGUAGUAUUUCCUAACGUCCAGCCUGAACCUUCCCUGGCACAGUUUGAAGCCGUUCCCUCUAAUCCUGGGAGGACUAUCCAUCCUAUCAGCUCCAGAGCCACCUGUAAUAGUAAGAGAUGGUUUGCUGCACAAGGCUGUCGUGUCAAUGAAUUCACUGGUUACUCAGAGUGUUCAGUAGCUGUAUUUCUUCCAGUUCAUCAUACAGAAAAGUUGUGAAGGACAUGCAGCACUUAGUGAGUACAUCUAUAUACAGUCAGCCAGGAGUGAGAUUAAAGAUGAUACAGCAAUCAGAGGAAUGAUUCUGGCCUGCCAGAUACAUUGAACAGACUAAAGGUGUUUUCUUGAUGUUUCUUAAAGAAAAGUUUAAGACUUUAUUCAAGAUGGGUAUCAAGCAGUAUAACAAAACCAGCAAAACGUGGACCUUUGGAAUACUGUUGUAAUGGCCAUUCUUGUGAGGCAUUACAUCUGUUGUUUCAUCACAUCUCUUCUACUGAUCACAGGAAAGGAAUCACAUGAAGCGCACAAUGAUGAUCCUCAGAUAGUCUGUGUAACACAACUCCCAACGCAGUGGUCUCUGCUAUUUCAAAUACAGUGCAAGGUGCAUAACAGGUACCCAAAACGAACACCAAAAGGCGACUGUGAUUAACGAGCCCUCUGCCACAAGUACAGGGGUUUCAUUGCUACAUGAGAACGCUUCAGGGAGCAGUCAGAGGCAGCAGGUUGUUUACAUGAGGCUAACGAGCAUCGGAUCUCUCCAAGCAGUUUUCUCCAUCUCAUUAAGAAUAAAUAACCUGGUUUUCCUUUUCUGUCUGUGCUGGGUUUGCACUUACACAGUUCAGAUUAGCGUGGGAUUACUCCAAGGUGAUUGGUGGUGGUACAUAAAGUCUUUCUAACUGAUGUGAUCCUGAUUCAGCAGUCGCUGAGCACUGACUGCACUGACACUGGCCGCAGCAGCAAGAAUGAAGGCAUGGGGACUGCACUGAGCUGCUCUGAACUUACUGUCUUCCUAACUGAGGUGUGCUUAUGGUACACUUGGUGAACUUACAGACUCAUUUACCACAGACCAUCUUCAGAUGCUGUUUCCUUCCUUUCAGCAUCAACUUAAAGUAAUGCAUGUUACCUUGUGCUGGUUAAAGGCUGUAUUUUCUAGGGCUGACCUAUUUGAAGCGGGCUCAGCAUGAGCCAGCAGUGUGCAGCCAAGAGCUGAAUGUAUUUUGGGAUGCAUUAAACACAACGUGGCCAGCAGGUCAAGAGAGGUGAUUCUCCCCCUGUAUUUAGCUUUGGUGCAGCCUCAUCUUGAAUACUGCUUGGAGUUCUGGACUGCACAACACAAAAAAGGAUGUUAAGGCUCUUGGAAGCACUCGGAGGAGGCACCAAAGAUGGUAGCAGGGCUGGAGGCAUGUCCUGUGAGGAGGCUGAGGGCACUGGGGGUGUCCAGCCUGGAGAAGAGGCUGAUAGGUGACCUCACUGCUCCCUGCAGCACCGUGGGGAGGGGAAGCAGAGUGAGGUGCCGGGCUCUGCUCCUGGGAACUGCUGGCAGAAGGGGAAUGGCACAGAGCUAUGCCAGGGUUGGGCAUUGGGAAACAUUUCUGUCCCAUGAGAGGUCAGAUAAAGGAACAGGCUUCCUCAGGGGGUGGCUGAUAGCCCAAGCCUGCCAGCAUUCAAGAGCGAUUUCGAUGAUGCUCUCAAUGCCAUGCGUUAACUUUUGGUUAGCCCUGCAUAGGUCAGGCAGUUGGACUUGAUGGUAUUUAUGGGUCCCUUCCAACUGAGUAUUCCAUUCUAUUCUCUUCAGGGUUACAUUCUCCAGCCCAUCUCUGCUAAGAGGUGUCCGCCAGCCCUGCAGGACUGCUGGUGGAGCCACCUGCCCGACAGGCCCCUAUAUCCGUACUUCUCUUAAGCCGGGGAAUCCCAGAUCUUGAAGCUAUUUUAAACCACUGGCUGCAAGAGGGCUUGCUUUGAGAAGUAAUAUCAGCUGCAGCCCUGAGCCUGAGCUGGGAGGAAGAGGACUUCUUCCCAUCCCUAUGAGCUGUUUCCCUAUGAUCGCGUUCUGCAAACCCUUUGCCACGAGGGGUCAGCAUCAGCGCAGGAAGGCGGCUUGCUGAACGGGCUCGUUCCCGUGGCAGAGAAAAACCGCAACAGAAGACUUCACGUCUGAUGUUUAUUUUAAAUGAAUGCAAAUAGCCACAGGGUGAAAUGACAGAGCUGGGGCGACACCUGUAAACAACCUGUGUGUGGAAAACGAGGAAUCAAAAGCAAAUGACCGUUCUCUUCUGUACACAGAACACUACAGCACGAAGUGCACGCGGGUCGGCAUUCACAUUUCUUGUCUAUCUACACACAAAUAUACAGCUCCGUUGAUAAAUUAAUACUUUUUUUUUUUUGCCAGAGAUAUGAAAAGGUUUAUUUGUCUCAUUUACACAAUGGAUGUUUGGAGAGAUAUAAGGCAACUCCCUUGUCAACAAUUUCACCUCAGCACUUAAGAAAAUCCAAACAGUCAAAGUUUACAGUAAAACAGCAGAUUAGACACAUUUAAUAAUUUGAGUGAGAAUCAAUGUUAAUCCAGCAUGUCUGAGAGUAGAACUGAUCAGAUGUUAAGUGGCUCCAUGUUUUGUGGGGUUUUUUUUGGCAUAAUUGAGUGCAAACUUGUCAGCUUUUUCUCUUAUGGCAACCUAUUGCAUAGCAUGGAAACACGGCUUGCUUGCAACAGGAUCUCAUUUCUGCUAACACUGCAGGCGGUUUUGCUGUUUCUUUUUAAUGUUUGCCAAAAUAAAUCAAACAAACUUUAAAGCUGCUUUAAAAUAAAACACACAAGCUUAGCUCCUCCAAGCAUUUGCUGAGUAUCUCAUAAGGGCUGACUCUUCUGUAACUGCUAUUUAUAUUUGUUUGUUUGUUUGUUUUCCAGUGUAUUUUCUGAAGGCUUCUUCCUUCUCACCCAUUGGAAAAUACAAUUGCAUUACACGUGUGAAGGAAACACAGUUCUCAGCACAACGAUUUAAUCAGAAUACAUGUGAUCCACUUGAAGAAAGAGAAACAGCAUUACAGCUCAGCUUUCCCUCAUGAGUCUUGGACAUUUUCACACAGCUAAAGCACUCAGGCAUUUGUUACAUCGCUCACAGGCUUGAGGAGGAAGAGAGGGAAGAGAAAUCCAUGGCUUCUGCAAAUCCACUUCCUUAAUGAUAAAGCCAUAAAUAAAUACACUGCCGGUGUAUCAUCACGAGCAACUGAUUAUUUUCGUUGUUGCUGUGCAUUCACAGAGCUAGAGCUAUGCAGACACAAUGAGAAGUGUAAAUGUACAGCCUUACAGGAUUAGCGUGAGUGGGGAUACACAGCAAACAAAACAAGAACUCUCCAUCUGCAGGUGUCUGUCAGACUGUCCUAACCACGUUGCUGACAAACGCGAGAAGCGUGGGACGGGAUACAGAGACAGGAGCGAGGAAGGCCAUGUCUACAACGCUGUACAUCGAAGCACAUCCAUCCCACUGCUGUUUCCUACAUUAUUAACGAGUAGCUCUUUAAGGCAGAAGAGAGACAUUCUGUGGAUCUUGGUGCUAUUGGCUCAUUGCACUCACAUUGUUUCAGUGGCAGAGGACGAGGUACUUUUCUUCCUGAUGCGAGGUCUAAGGGUCCUAGGCGGUGCCUGCAGAAAAGCAAGAGAAAACUUCGUUGGUGAAACAGGAAAUUCUUUCUUUCUUUCCUUAAAACUCACCUAUCUUUGUGGCACUUCUGUGGUAGUGAUCCUGUUUCUGGCAUGAAGAAAGAGAGAAGCCCAUUUUGGCCCUCGAGAUUGUUAAUGAAGGAUCGGUUGAGGAUUAACCCCUUGAAGAGAACCACUGUAGACCCUUACCUAGCUUACACCACCUUCAUUAGCCAAAGGCAUGGCCAAAUACUGCUAGUAAUACAAAGGUCAAAGCAGACAGGAGAAAUCGGUGCAAUUUGCAUCGGCCAUCAGCUCAAGACAGCAAACUGGUGGCGGGAAGCCCACUGCUGUUUCCCAACCACCCUGCAGGGUCCAGCCCAGUUGUGAGUACCUUGGGGCAUCCCAAAGCAGAAGGGGUCACCGUUGUGAAACACACUGGGCUCUUUCUUGGGAGACUGGGUAGAAUUUGUUGCAAUGAUUUCAGAUGAGGACUAUUGCAGUUCUGCCUUGCAGCCAGCUGAUGAGGACAGCUUUGAAAAGGAGCCCUUAAGCGUGGAAAUGUAUGGAAAGACCCCCAGGCAAAUCUGCCCAGGGAGAACCAUAGAAUGUCCAAGAGGAGCCAGGUCAACUCCGUAAGAUUGGUUUACUCUGAUUAGCUCCAUUCUCCAGACUAAACUGACUGAGAUAGAAACUACCUAGCAAGGCCAACAAACAAAAAAAGACCCACCAACCUCAUCUGCAUUGCAUAAUUCACUCUGAAGAGCUUUGGUAUGGCACUGGGGCUCAUCAGAUUCACAAGAAGUGGUUACCACAAGUUGCAGAGGAGCACAAACUCUCAAUGUGGAUGCCUAGCAAAGCAUAGUAGAUAACACUGCAAGGCCUGUUAAGCUCUUCUACUUUGUUUUCAGGAACGUCCAAAGCUUUGUUUUCAUUAACAGCAUAAACCUAUUUACGUGGAAGACUAUGACAGGGUCUUACCAUUUGUAAAUGAAGACUUAAUCAUUUAUAUUUUAUAGGACUAUCCAAUCCAAGAUCAUGCUGUAUUUCCACAUUCUUGUGAUACAGGAGGUAUAAACAUUCAUACGGGUAAGCUAAACAAAAUCACAGUGAGGUUUCGUUCAGACUCCAUCCAGCUUCUAAGCCUGAUCUUUUACCCCACUCUGAGUCCCCAAAAGCACAAACAAUCAAGGUAAGAUGGCUG
rnacentral:lncRNA from 1 species